AUUGAACGCUGGCGGCAUGCCUUACACAUGCAAGUCGAACGAUGAAGCUAGAGCUUGCUCUGGUGAAUUAGUGGCGAACGGGUGAGUAACACGUGAGUAACCUGCCCCGAACUCUGGGAUAACUGCUGGAAACGGUAGCUAAUACUGGAUACGACCUACGAAGGCAUCUUCUGAAGGUGGAAAGAAUUUCGGUUCGGGAUGGACUCGCGGCCUAUCAGCUUGUUGGUGAGGUAAUGGCUCACCAAGGCGACGACGGGUAGCCGGCCGGAGAGGGUGACCGGCCACACUGGGACUGAGACACGGCCCAGACUCCUACGGGAGGCAGCAGUGGGGAAUAUUGCACAAUGGGCGCAAGCCUGAUGCAGCAACGCCGCGGGAGGGAUGACGGCCUUCGGGUUGUAAACCUCUUUUAGUAGGGAAGAAGCGAAAGUGACGGUACCUGCAGAAAAAGCACCGGCUAACUACGUGCCAGCCGCCGCCGUAA
rnacentral:rRNA from 1 species